rnacentral:pre_miRNA from 1 species
UUUGUACUCCCUCCGUUCAGAAUUACUUGUCUCGAAAAUGGAUGUAUCUAGAUGUAUUUUAGUUCUAGAUACAUCCAUUUCCGAGACAAGUAAUUCCGAACGGAGGGAGUACCUG